rnacentral:rRNA from 1 species
CUGCGAAUGGCUCAUUAUAUCAGUUAUAGUUAAUGAUGAAGAAUACUAAUUGGAUAACCGUAGUAAUUCUAGAGCUAAUACAUGUAUAAAGUCUUGUAGACUGCAUUUAUUAGAAUGAAAACCAUAGGUUUCGGCCUAUUCGUGAGUAAUAAUAACUAAUCAUAUCGUAUGCUUAUGUAACGAUGUGUCUUUCAAGUUUCUGCCCUAUCAGCUUUCGAUGGUAGUGUAUUGGACUACCAUG